rnacentral:piRNA from 1 species
UGCCAAAAGCCUGGGUACGUGGUAGUUCC